CUGGUACAGGCGUAGAGGGGAUGAACGAUGAAAUUUUGAUAUUUCUCUACACGUAGUAGUUUAAAACUGAUGCGCGCCGCCAAUUUGAAAACUUAUCGCUCAAAAGCCGAGAUAGUUUUGAAAUGAAUCUUUAACACGACGGAAUCUUUAACACCUUUAAUCUUCAGUCUUUUCUGAAAAUGUAUCAAAACUAUCAAUUCUCUGAAUCAUAUUAUGGAUAAGUAUUGGGGAAUAAAAUUCUAUACCUCUACUCUAAUAUAUAAGGGUGUUAUUGAAUCAAUAAUUACUUAUGCGGCUGAUAGCUGGGGUUAUACUGUCCAAAAGGAAUAAUUCAGUUCAAAGACUCGCUCUUAUAAAAAUAUGUAGAACCUAUAGGACAGCAUCAACAAAUGUCCUUCGAGUCAUAUCUGGUAUCAUACCCAUAAAUUUACGUAUAAAACAAAUUUAUUGGGUUAACAAAAUUUAUUAUGUCAAUAAAUAUAUGAACAACACGGAUUAUAAAAACAUUAUUGGUAAUAUUAAUAAUAAUAAUGACAAAAAAAACCUAAUUUAUAUGGCUUGAAAAUUUUGAUUUAGAAAAAAAAAAAAACAAUUUAAUAAUAAUAUACAUCCUGC
rnacentral:lncRNA from 1 species